UAGGGAAUCUUCCACAAUGGACGCAAGUCUGAUGGAGCAACGCGCGUGAGUGAAGAAGGUUUCGGACCGUAAAGCUCUGUUGUUGGUGAAGAAGGAUAGAGGUAGUAACUGGCCUUUAUUUGACGGUAAUCAACCAGAAAGUCACGGCUAACUACGUGCCAGCAGCCGCGGUAAUACGUAGGUGGCAAGCGUUGUCCGGAUUUAUUGGGCGUAAAGCGAGCGCAGGCGGAAGAAUAAGUCUGAUGUGAAAGCCCUCGGCUUAACCGAGGAAUUGCAUCGGAAACUG
rnacentral:rRNA from 1 species